AAUGUGAAGCAAACACAGCCACUCAUCUCUUUUAUCUAUUAGGCUCAAAUGCUAUCAAGAAGCAUUCUAUGUUCUAGUUCAAGUCGGUUUCCCCAGACUAAAUGCUUAACCAUAAGAUGACCAAGGUCCUGCCAGGUUUACUAUUCGGGACAAGAAAAAGCAGAGAAAGGAUUGGAGCAGGUACAAAAAAUCUUAAAUAGAGUAUGAGAAGAGGAAGCUGAUGCAAAAGAAGAAACACAGCCAAAGAGAUGAAUGCAAGCUAUCCAAGGCAGAGGUGGCAGACCAAGUGGAAGCCUGGUUUACUAAACAAUUCUAAGAAAAUUCAAAGUUAAGGUAAAUUUUCUGGUUCACUUUGCAGCUGUAAUUGCAUGCAGCACUUAUGAUCCAACCCUACUCUAGUAUACCAAAAACUAUUGUUUCAGUGGGCUUAGAAUAGCAUAUUAUGCACAGGAUCUAACUGCUACUUGGAUGUAAAUUUCAAUGAAUUCAGGAGGACUUAUGUCCAAAUUAAUAAGACAUAUUUUUACCUGUCACAGUAAGACUGAGAAAAAAAAUAAAAGAAAACACGGCUUCCAGGGGAAAAUGAGGUAUAAUAUGCAACACACUAAUUCUUGACUGGUAGCAAUGCCUCCAGGGCUGAGUAUAGUAUUGCACUGCUUCCAUGUCUAAUGACCCCUUACAGCUAUUUUAGCUUGCUGUUCUGGGCAUUAGUCAAAUAAAGUAGAAAAAGAAGUAUUGCCACUCAUACAGACAAGACCAGGGCUUGUUCUGUGCAAGUUUAAAAUGCCCCCACUACCAAUUCUUACAACCUCUUCCUGGCUUUGGGGAAACACUGCAAAUAUUUUAGAAGAUCAAGCUACCAAAAGGUGAAGAGCUCAGUGGACCAGGUAGCACAUUGCUGCAACUGUUUGCUAAACAAAUGAGCCAAAGCAGCUUUUGGUUGAGCAGAUUGCAAAUUUAAUUUCCUAAGCACAGGUUGUCUGAAUUACUGUAACUGGACCCUUCCUUUUGUGUAUCAUCAAGUAGGUUACUAAGGGUUUUCGUGCUCUGAAAAUAGAUGGAAAAUUUAUUUCUGGCCAUCCUGGCUCUAUUCCUUGCUUUCCUGGCAAUAAUUUUGAAGACUCUGAUUGGCAGGGCACUAAGCCAUUGUGGGUGGCCAGGCAAAGGCCUUACCAUGAUAUUCCCAACAGCAAUUCAUGAAUUACACAAAUCAGGAAACAUGUGCAUUGACUCAGAGCUGCAGAGGUUUAUCGCCUUGCCACAGAAGUGCCCCCAUGUGGUCAACCUUGUGUCCAAGUUAAUAUUAAUAUAAUUUAUUUAUUUAUUUCAUGUCAAAAGCAUUGUACAAUGAAUACAUUUCAAAAUGAUGGGGGGGGGGGGGGGGGAAAUCACAAGCAACUAAAUAGUUUUGGACCAAAAGCGGGCAACAGCAACCGCAUUGUCCGUAGCUUUAAACAACUCCUCCUCCGUACAUGAGGCAGGGCAUUGUGGGCAAGCAUACAUUUGCAGAGUUUAAUAAUAUUAAUAUAAUAAUAUGUGGACUAUGUAGCCUAUUAUUCUAACAAGUGUUUAUAAAUAAUAAUGAUAAAAAACUUUAUUUAUAUAUCGCCCUAUCUCCUCAAGCGAUUUCCAAAACAACAAAAAACAUACAGUAAGUUAAAAACCAUACAGCAAUUAAAACAUAAUACCACAUGAACAUAAAUACAUAAGACAUAUAAUAAGUUAACACAGUUUUAAAACCUAAUGACAAGAACUGUGUUUGUGUCGAAAUCUGCAUCCAAUAUAGAUCGACAGCAUGUAUCAAUGACAUUUUCACCUCUUAUAGAAAAAGAUAGGAUACCUUUUUUUGUUAGGAAAAGAAAAAAUAUCUAAAUCUAAACGGUGGUAGUAAAUCCUUUUACAAGAACAUAAUUCUAAUGACUUGUGUUAUUCUGGUAUAAAAAUAGCUUAAAUGAUAUUUAUUUCACCUUAACUUAAGUGCAGUCAAUGUUGCCUAAAUCCAUACAUAAUAUUUGCAAAGAGUCCACGUGGUAUAGUUUCUGCACACCCUAUUACCUCAACAAUCUUAUCAUUAGGGCUCUUUUGCAUAUUCCUGUAUAUCAUGUACAAUAAAGGGAACCAUGAAGAUGUUUGGGUUUCCAACCUUACCUCAGUUUCUCUACUUCAGGAGGCUUACUGGCAGUAUCUUAAGGAGUGCCCUAGAUUUUCUCGCUUUGAAAUUUUUUAGCAGUAGUGGCUUACCCUCCCACUAUUUUUAAAGCUCUUUCACAAAAUUACAUCUAGAUGAGCUAUAGAAAGCUUUUUAAUUUUAGAAAGCUCCCCAUUUGGAAUAUUUAUUUAUUAUUUAUUUAUUUACUACAUUUAUAUCCCGGCCUUCUCACCAUGAAGGAGACUUAGAGCGGCUUACAAAUAAUAUUUACAUACAGUGUAUUAUAUCAAUAACACAGCACAACACUUGAAUUAUAUACCAGUAUAUUACACACCACUAUACUGUAAUAUUACCAGUAAUAUUACAUGUAAUAAAUAUAUAAUUCAUAUUAUUAUAUUUUAUUAUUAGUAUUACAUUGCAUUACAUUAUAUUAUUAUCAAUACUACAUGUAUAUACAAUAUAUUAAUAUUGUAAAUUAUAUUGUAUAUUAUAUACAUUAUACACACACAUACAAUAGGGCCUCUACAUUUUUGUUGACUAUCAACAGAAGUUUAUCAUAAUCUGAAGUGUCUACAAUGAUGCAUAGGGAGCUAUAGCAAAGUCUUAUUUUGCUAGCAGCGAGCCUACUCUUUAAAAUUUUAGCUUGAAAGUGGAAAAGCUGAAAAUAAGUUGUCAAAAUUUUGAGAGCUCUACCAUGAUUACUUGAUGAAUUAUGGUUUCCAAAGAUACGCCAGAAUGCUCUUUUAUUAGUAUUACUCCAGACGGCUUCUGAGAUCAAUUUUUCUAGCACAGCUUCAAGAAGUCAUAUUUUAGUGAAAAUGAACAGUAAUACUCACUCU